rnacentral:lncRNA from 1 species
AUUUCAAAGUACAGAAAAAACUGGGCAUACACAUGCCCUACAAAGCAGCCAAAAGACAUUCCCCAGUCUCUCUCAGGAAAUGUUUCAAGAUGAAAAGCAAAAGUCUGAAGUCCCUUGGAAUCUUGGGUUGAUUUCUUCAUUAUUCUCAAGGCUAGGUUGUUUUCCCCCAGCAUACUUUGUUGGGCAAAAAUAAAACAUUUCCAAAUAAAAGCAACUCCUCAGCCCCAAUUUUCAAUGCAAUAUGCUUAUUAAAAGUUCAACAUUUCUCAAGGUCUAGACUUAUAGUGUGAUCAUAUUACAGUACUCGGGAAGAGCAUUUUCUUUGUUGUUGACCCUGCUGUGGUGAGGCGGGAGGAGACGUCGCCGAAGGGGGAUGGCUCCAUUCGGAGAUACUUCUGCGGCGAGGCGGCCGC